UACGAAGGGGGCUAGCGUUGCUCGGAAUUACUGGGCGUCAAGCGCACGUAGGCGGCUCUUUAAGUCGGGGGUGAAAUCCUGGAGCUCAACUCCAGAACUGCCUUUGAUACUGAGAAGCUUGAGUCCGGGAGAGGUGAGUGGAACUGCGAGUGUAGAGGUGAAAUUCGUAGAUAUUCGCAAGAACACCAGUGGCGAAGGCGGCUCACUGGCCCGGUACUGACGCUGAGGUGCGAAAGCGUGGGGAGCAAACAGG
rnacentral:rRNA from 1 species